CUCGAGUAGGGCCCAAGCAAGCCAGGAAGGAGGCGGCAGCCAGAGUGUUCUCUGCAGCAGAAGACCCUUUGCUGCCCUGCUUAACCCAGACCAGCAUUUGCCAGAUUAUAGUGGUUUGAAAACCUGAUUUCGUUCUGAUGUACCUUUUCAAGAAUUAAAAUCACCUGGAGUCUUCUUGGCAGCAGUCCUGACAUGUCAUCAUAUGGAAUUUGGAGGCAGAAGAUUCAAUUUAUUACUUUAGACAAUUUUUAUCCUGACUUUCUGCUUGUGCAAGUGUUCAAGGCAGCUAACAAAAAUGGCAAUUAAAACAUAUUUUAAAACAAUCAGAACAGCUUUAAAAUAACAGCAAUUGAAUGAUGAGAAAGAAAGAGCUGAAAACAGAAAACAAAAACCCCAGUCAAUAACGACAACAGCUGAGCUUAAAUGCUAGUUUAAAGAGAUUAUUUUUUUUUUAACGGUGGCAAAAAUGCAAUGAGGGUGCCAGGAAGAUAUGAGUCCGGGCUCUCCAUAACCUUGGUGCAUGUAAGAGCUCUUUCACAUGUUCCUACUUCACAAACAUCAGAUAAAUACUUAAUACUGAUGGUGGUUUUUAACAUAACUUUUUAUUUGUUUACUCAAUUUGUUUAAUUUUAUUACUUUUAUUGUAUACUGUAUCUAUUUUAUUGUUGUGAGCCGCCCCGAGCAGUAGUGUACUAGAGGAGUGGGAUAUAAAUAUCUUAAAUAAAGAAUGAAUGAAUGAAUAAAUAAAUAAAUAAAUAAAAGUGGAACAUGUAAAAGAA